GAUGAACGCUGGCGGCGUGCCUAAUACAUGCAAGUCGAGCGAACGGACGAGGAGCUUGCUUUUCUGAUGUUAGCGGCGGACGGGUGAGUAACACGUGGAUAACCUACCUAUAAGACUGGGAUAACUUCGGGAAACCGGAGCUAAUACCGGAUAAUAUUUUGAACCGCAUGGUUCAAAAGUGAAAGACGGUCUUGCUGUCACUUAUAGAUGGAUCCGCGCUGCAUUAGCUAGUUGGUAAGGUAACGGCUUACCAAGGCAACGAUGCAUAGCCGACCUGAGAGGGUGAUCGGCCACACUGGAACUGAGACACGGUCCAGACUCCUACGGGAGGCAGCAGUAGGGAAUCUUCCGCAAUGGGCGAAAGCCUGACGGAGCAACGCCGCGUGAGUGAUGAAGGUCUUCGGAUCGUAAAACUCUGUUAUUAGGGAAGAACAUAUGUGUAAGUAACUGUGCACAUCUUGACGGUACCUAAUCAGAAAGCCACGGCUAACUACGCG
rnacentral:rRNA from 1 species